UGAGUGAUGACGGCCUUCGGGUUGUAAAGCUCUGUUAAUCGGGACGAAAGGCCUUCUUGCGAAUAGGGAGAAGGAUUGACGGUACCGGAAUAGAAAGCCACGGCUAACUACGUGCCAGCAGCCGCGGUAAUACGUAGGUGGCAAGCGUCGUCCGGAAUUAUUGGGCGUAAAGCGCGCGCAGGCGGAUCAGUCAGUCUGUCUUAAAAGUUCGGGGCUUAACCCCGUGAGGGGAUGGAAACUGCUGAUCUAGAGUAUCGGAGAGGAAAGUGGAAUUCCUAGUGUAGCGGUGAAAUGCGUAGAUAUUAGGAAGAACACCAGUGGCGAAGGCGACUUUCUGGACGAAAACUGACGCUGAGGCGCGAAAGCCAGGGGAGCGAACGGGAUUAGAUACCCCGGUAGUCCUGGCCGUAAACGAUGGGUACUAGGUGUAGGAGGUAUCGACCCCUUCUGUGCCGGAGUUAACGCAAUAAGUACCCCGCCUGGGGAGUACGACCGCAAGGUUGAAACUCAAAGGAAUUGACGGGGGCCCGCACAAGCGGUGGAGUAUGUGGUUUAUUCGACGCAACGC
rnacentral:rRNA from 1 species